UGAAUCAGGAUUUAUCGAAUGAAGGCAGCAACAAGGGAAUUUGAGCCUUGGCCUGUAGAGAUACAAUUUUGCAAGGAACCUAGGUACCUUUCUAAACUUAUUGGAUGUAAAGAUUUGAAUGAUCAAAUUUGUGAUUAAUGUAAUGGGAUUUUAUUAAAUUUUUCAUGAUUUUAUAGAAUUUUGGGUUUAAAUUUGUGGGUUUUUUUUCAUUUAAAUUGUGGGUUUUGGAGCAUUCUUAGUCAAAUUUAUUGAUUCUUUUGAUGUGAAUUUAUGUGAGAUUAUUCAACUGCAAUGUCAAAUAGGUGGGCAAGUUCAUAUGGUUUCCAAUGUUGUUAUAUACUCUCCUGUCAGCUCUGAAUGUUGAAUUACUUAACUAUUAAUGUCAGAUUAAUCAAAGUUGGGCAUCAGUUCAUAUGUUUUUCAAUGUUUUAUAAAAACGACGCAAUUUUCACUUGGUAUUGAGUAUGUGGUUUUUUAAGUAGAAUAGUGGGAGAUUCAUUUGUAAAAAAUCCUCAAUGAUCAUUUGAAUAUAAUUCUGAAUACUACACUGCCGUUCUGCUUAAAGCGCUCUAAUACAUGCAUAAUCUUGAAUGAAUAUGUAAAGACUACUUGAGAAACUAACAGUAUACAAAAUCUGAAUGAUUUUAUUUGUUUCUUUCUUUUUCUGGGUUUGUCUACUAUGGUUAUUAUGAGUUUCUGGUUUUCUUCAUCUUUCAGGCAAUUGCUUCUUUAGGGACUUAUGACAUAGCAUUAGAGAUGGGAAAGAAGGAAGCAUUGCGGUGUACCAUAUGCAGAUGAUUAGGGAGGGUGCAAUACCAAGUGAAGAAAUACACCUUGAGAAUAGCUCUUGGGUUGUCAAUUGUGAUUGGAAAUUCUACUCCUCACAUGGAUCAUAGGAAAA